CCCAGACUCCUACGGGGGGCAGCAGUGGGGAAUAUUGCACAAUGGGGGAAACCCUGAUGCAGCGACGCCGCGAGAGUGAAGAAGUAUCUCGGUACGUAAAGCUCUAUCAGCAGGGAAGAAAAUGACGGUACCUGACUAAGAAGCCCCGGCUAACUACGUGCCAGCAGCCGCGGUAAUACGUAGGGGGCAAGCGUUAUCCGGAUUUACUGGGUGUAAAGGGAGCGUAGACGGCAGCACAAGUCUGGAGUGAAAGGCGGGGGCCCAACCCCCGGACUGCUUUGGAAACUGUAUAACUGGAGUGCAGGAGAGGUAAGUGGAAUUCCUAGUGUAGCGGUGAAAUGCGUAGAUAUUAGGAGGAACACCAGUGGCGAAGGCGGCUUACUGGACUGUAACUGACGUUGAGGCUCGAAAGCGUGGGGAGCGAACAGGAUUAGAUACCCUUGUA
rnacentral:rRNA from 1 species